UACGUAGGGUGCGAGCGUUGUCCGGAAUUACUGGGCGUAAAGAGCUCGUAGGUGGUUUGUCGCGUUGUUCGUGAAAACUCACAGCUUAACUGUGGGCGUGCGGGCGAUACGGGCAGACUGGAGUACUGCAGGGGAGACUGGAAUUCCUGGUGUAGCGGUGGAAUGCGCAGAUAUCAGGAGGAACACCGGUGGCGAAGGCGGGUCUCUGGGCAGUAACUGACGCUGGAGGAGCGAAAGCGUGGGGAGCGAACAGG
rnacentral:rRNA from 1 species